rnacentral:piRNA from 1 species
UACAAUUUAGGUCGCCCGCCAGAAUGA